GACGAACGCUGGCGGCGUGCUUAACACAUGCAAGUCGAACGGAAAGGCCCUGCUUUUGUGGGGUGCUCGAGUGGCGAACGGGUGAGUAACACGUGAGUAACCUGCCCUUGACUUUGGGAUAACUUCAGGAAACUGGGGCUAAUACCGGAUAGGAGCUCUUGCUGCAUGGUGGGGGUUGGAAAGUUUCGGCGGUUGGGGAUGGACUCGCGGCUUAUCAGCUUGUUGGUGGGGUAGUGGCUUACCAAGGCUUUGACGGGUAGCCGGCCUGAGAGGGGGACCGGCCACAUUGGGACUGAGAUACGGCCCAGACUCCUACGGUAGGCAGCAGUGGGGAAUAUUGCACAAUGGGCGGAAGCCUGAUGCAGCAACGCCGCGUGCGGGAUGACGGCCUUCGGGUUGUAAACCGCUUUCGCCUGUGACGAAGCGUGAGUGACGGUAAUGGGUAAAGAAGCACCGGCUAACUACGUG
rnacentral:rRNA from 1 species